GGUUCAUCCAAUUUGGUGACUGGAGAGACCAAGAGCUUCUUUAGCUUUGCAAAAUCAGGGUGGCAGGUUGAGAAAGUGAACCCCAUCAAGCGGUACGAAGAGAACAGUCAUCGCGGGGUUUUCCCUUGUAAAUGUGCUCUUCAAACAGGGCCGUGCAGGCCUCAUUCGAGGAGUGGUGGACAAGCUCAUCGGGCUCUACAACCAGAAGAAGACCAAGCCCGUGGUGGAUUCCAUGUGGGCCCUGGAGGAGGCAUGUUUCAAAGGCCAGUAGCCACACGUGGCCAGAGGUUCCCCUGUGGGACCACGCAGACAUGCAAGACGCUCUCAUCUGGGCAGGAGUCUCCUGAAGCUGGUCGGUGAGACGAUGUCAUCCUUCUGUUUGAAGAAAGAAAAUCAGUGAAAUGUUGGAAAUAAAGAUCGGACUGUGAAGAAAGUAUAGAAAGACUUACUGCAGUUGUUGGACCUAAAGGCUGUACCUGGACGAUUACACGCUGAUAACAGAAAGGAUGCCGAGGAUUUUCCUAGGUGUGGAGUGAAAGAUGC